AGCAACAACGGGUGAAAUCUGUACUUAAGUUAAAUUUCUUGUUUAAAGCAUCUUUUAGGUAGUUAAACGACUAGGAUUAGAUACCCUAUUAGUCUAUCCUUAAUUAACCUGGGUAGUAAUAUUAAAACCUAAAGAAUUUGGCGGUUUCUAAACUUACUAGAGGAACCUGUCCCGUAAACGACAAUCCACGAAAAAAUCAACCCAAACUUGUUAUUCAGCUUAUAUACCGUCGUUUAGGGGAUUAAACAAAUAGAUCUCCUUAAGAGCUUAGGCUAAUAAAUCAGAUCAAGGUGUAGCUUAUGUUUGGGUGAGGAUGGGUUACAAUGAAAAUUCAUACGGAACCUUUAUAUUACUGCAAAGGAGAAGGUGGAUUUAGAAGUAAGACCUAACACACUGAAGAAAGCCCUGAGAAAUGUACAC
rnacentral:rRNA from 1 species